rnacentral:rRNA from 1 species
UACGGAGGGAGCGAACGUUGUUCGGAUUCACUGGGCGUAAAGGGCGUGUAGGCGGUCUGGCAAGUCAGGGGUGAAAUACCGCGGCUCAACCGUGGAAUUGCCUUUGAAACUACCGGACUUGAGGCCGUGAGAGGAGACUGGAAUUCCCAGUGUAGCGGUGAAAUGCAUAGAUAUUGGGAAGAACACCAGUGGCGAAGGCGAGUCUCUGGCACGGUUCUGACGCUGAGGCGCGAAAGCUAGGGGAGCAAACGGG